CGUCCCAAUAUUUGGUUGUGAGUGGAAACGCCCACCGGAUACUUCACAUUCAUACAUCCUGUGAAUUAUCUGGCUCAUUGUUCUAUCUGUGCGUAGCAGCGGCUAUCUGGAACGAAGCAAAGCAGCCACGGCUUUUUAGACUGGGAAUCAGCUGGCUAGCUAAUGGCUAUGGUUCAAUCAGAAUGAUAUCGCAGCGGGAACGAGGAGAACUUGCACGUUUUUAUACUGUUACGGACCCUAAAAAGCAUAAGAAAGGAUAUACAGUGUACAAAGUCACUGCAAGGAUCAUCUCCAGAAAGAACCCGGAGGACGUCCAAGAGAUCACGGUGUGGAAGAGGUACAGUGAUUUCCGGAAACUUCAUCACGACCUCUGGCAACUACACAGGAAUCUCUUCAGCCAAUCAGAGCUCUUCCCACCCUUCGCCAAGGCCAAAGUGUUUGGUCGUUUUGAUGAGACGGUGAUUGAGGAGAGGAGGCAGUGCUCAGAAGAUCUGCUACAGUUCUCUGCUAACAUCCCAGCCCUCUACAGCAGCCAGCACAUCCAGGACUUCUUCAAGGGAGGGGAGGUCAGCGACGGCUCAGAGCUUAUUGGACCGGCCGAACCCUUCUUGGACUUCCUGGCUGACAGCCUAUCAGACUGCGGCUCUGAGGUUCAGAGGGAUCUCGGUGGAGCAGAUGAUUGGACCAUUACCAGUCAGUCUGAAUAUGGAGGUCCGUCCAGUGACAGUGACCUGACCUCCCUGGCCGUAGAUAUAGACUCUUUGGCCGAGCUGGAUGAUGGCAUGGCCUCAGGCCGUAGCUCGCCCAACCAGCCACUGGGAGGCUCCAGCACCAUCACCAGUACCCACAGUAGCCCCUCUCUGCCCCCCCUGUAUGACUACCAGCAGCACCACCAUCAGCAGCACACCUCGAAUCCAGCCCCCGGCUCCCCAGCCCCCGAGGUCAGUCGAACCAGCAGGACAGCGCUGUUCCCCUCCAGUCUGAGGAGAGGUAACGCUAACGCUAGGGAAACCAAGAGAGACUACCUGGACAGGGCUAGCGAACACAUCCGAUUGGCCGUGCAGAAGGAAGCAGAGCAGGACUACCAAUCAGCGUUCUCCUACUACAGGAGCGGGGUGGAUUUGCUUCUGCAAGGGGUGCAAGGCGAGCCCAGCCCUACGAGGCGGGAGGCAGUGAAGAGAAGGACGGCUGAGUAUCUGAUCCGUGCUGAGCAGAUAUCCAAUCAGCAUCUGAGAAACAGCAUGGGUCAAGGGUCAACACAGACAGUGGCCAUGGGGGCGCAAUGCUCUACCGCCACCUGCAGAGGGGGUCAGCAGAGUCCAGCCGAGGAGCUCAGGGCCUACAUGGUGCUGGGGGUCAUCGAUAAGGUUCUUCUGGUUAUGGACAAGAGAACCCAGGAGACCUUCAUUUUGAAAGGCUUGAGGAAGAGCAGUGACUGUGGGAGACCCAAGCGGACCAUCAUGCCUCACUCUGUGCCCCACAUGGUGCGCCUGAGGAAGUUCAUCGUCUCAGAGGACACUGUGUUUCUUCUGCUACAUUACGCUGAGGGUGGGAAGCUGUGGUCUCACAUUGGGAAGUUCCUGCGUAACUCCAGCCCGGAGGACAGCUUCGACAUUCCCUUCAUUCAGAAAAGCCACACCACGGCAGUCCACUCUGCCCAACAUGCUGCUCCCAAGCUGGGCUUGGACUCUGGCAGCUCUGGGUCUGGGCCUGGAGCUGGGUCUGGUUCUGGAUGUGUGCUCCAGAGGCAAGGGGAGUCUUCUCUUGUCCUCCCCCAGAAGAGUGCUCUGCCUCCUGGGCAGGCUGACAGCCUUAGGCACCAGCCGGACUCUGGAGCGACCUCUGAGUUAGAGGAGUGCACCGACAGUUAUCUGAAUCUCUGUAAUGAGUACGAACAAGAAAAGGUAGAACCAGAAGCUCUAGGAGAGGAGGAAGAGAAGGAGGGAGAGGGGUGUGUGUCGAGAGGACAGGAAGCAUCGUCGCUGGAUGUCACCGUCACCACGACAACCACUUCCUCCAGGACUCGCUCACUGCUUAGCAACGACAGCCUCUGCUCUCCAAUCAGCGCCCAGGAGCUGCGUUUCUUUACUGAGACGGCCGGGGAUCACAACAACGGGCGUUGCCAGGACAUCGGGCAGGACCACGGCGAGGUGUUCAGCCCCUUGCUCUCCCCCGCCGUUCCCCUCUCGUUGGACCAGUCCAAACGCACCCCCAUGGAGUUCUUCCGCAUCGAUAGUAAGGACAGUGCUAGCGAGGUGACGUGGUGUCCCGACUCGGCCGAGCUGAGGCCCAAACCAGACCCUUCCAAGCCACUCCCCUUCCUGUCCACCUCUGACCUGGGCUCUGAAGUCACAGACCUGUCGGACCUAGUGGAGGAGGUGAAAGGUCAUGGAGGUGGAUCUGACCGGUGGGGUCUGGAUGGUAGUGACCAGGGCUCUAAUGAGUCGGUACCAGUCAUCUCCUUUAAAGAGGCAGUGGUGGAGGACGAGGGUCGACCCCCUGACCUCCUGGUCAACCUGCCUGGGGUCAUGGGUGGGGAGGGGUUGGUGGGGGUAACUGGGGAAGUGGAGGCCCUUGUGGAGGAGCUGGUGUCCUCGGGGGUGUGUCUAGCCCUGGAGACCAAAGCCUCCCCUAAGUUGACCCAGCCGGAUGUCCUGCAGCUCCACCAUGAGCUUGAGGAGGGAGAGGGGCUGGCUGUGGGGCGGGCCCUCCCCUCGAGGGAUAAACACACCACUUCUUCCUCUCCCUGCACCUCCCUGUGGGACGACUGUGGCCUGGCCUUCGGACAAGAUGAUAAAAUGGCUUCCGGAGCUCCCGUACUCCCGAAUAAGGACUUCCUCCCUGCCAGCACUGUGUCUAUAGCCCCGCUCUCUUCCUCCAACACAGAUAUUCCAUUCAUUGACUCACUUAGCUCACUUCCUGAAAGAUUAGAAGCCAUUUUGAACCCACAGGCACACCCUGACAGUUUGGUUCUUAACCCAGAUGGGACGAUGGCUGGCUCCAACCGCGGUCAGGAUGGAACAGGGGCCAGCUCUGGGGCAGAGAGUGCACUAGGCGUUGAGUCCCAGUUCCAGGCCAGUAAGGCUGGUGUGGAGGACAUGGUAGAGUCAGAUAAGGAUGUGUCUCGGCUGUUUGCAGAGCUUGACCAGUUGUCUGCUGUAGCGUCCCAGGCCAGGAUUCCAGAGGAGUUUGUGAGGUGCUGGGCGGUGGACAUGGUCUCUGCCUUGGACUCACUCCAUCAGGAGGGCAUCGUCUGUAAGGACCUCAACCCCAACAACAUCCUCAUCAACAGCAAAGGCCAUGUUGAGCUGACGUAUUUCUGCAGCUGGAGUGACGUGGAGGACUCCUACGACAGGGAGGCCAUCGCCAACAUGUACAGUGCACCAGAGGUGGGCGGUAUCAGCGAGGAGACGGCAGCGUGUGAUUGGUGGAGUUUGGGAGCCAUCUUGUUUGAGCUGCUCAUAGGCAAGUCUCUGCUGCAGUGCCACCCAGCUGGUAUCAGUCGCCACACGGCCCUCAACGUCCCUGAGUUUGUAUCUGAGGAGGCCAUGUCGCUACUGGUGGAGCUUCUCCAGUUCAACCCCAUAGAGAGGCUGGGGGCUGGGGUGGCAGGAGCAGAGGACAUCAAAUCACAUCCCUUCUUUGGCCGAGUGGACUGGCCCAAAUAAGCCCAGUGCAUUGUGGGACGGUGGAGGUCAGAAAUGAAUGCUGUGGGCGGAUCGAGCUGCUGACAGGAUAGAGGAGAUCAGACCAGGGGGGGCUCCUUCCUCCUGCGGCUCAGCAGGGUCACUGGGCGGUGGGGCUGGAGGGGUCCAGGUGGUGGGCUGAGGCUGGAGGAUCAUCCUGAGGCACAGACAGAACUGGAACAUGGAAGAGCUCCUCUGCUGAUAUUCCGAGUCACAGGAAAUUAUUGAAUGUAGUUUAAUGGCAAAAUAGCCUCAGCACGUUGAUUGUCGCACGGUGCCUAUCAUAAGUAUUGGAUUUCUUCACAUUGUGUUGUGUAACAAAGUGGGAUUCAAAUGGAUUUAAUUGUCUUUUUUUUUUAACGAUCGGCACAAAAUACACUAUUUACUCUGUAAUACUCUAAUGUCAAAGAUGAAUGAAAAACACCAAUUUACCUUGAUAAGUAUUAACCCCCCUGAGUCAAUUCAUGCUAGAAAUACUUUUGGCCGCGUUUACAGCAGUGAGUCUUCUUGGGUAAAUUACUUUAGUGCCUUGUUGCAUACAUGAUGCAUGUUUUGGAAUAUUCUGUAUAUUUGUAGUCUUCUUUUCAAUCUGUCAUUUAGGUCAUUAUUGUGGAGUCACUACGAUGUUGUUGAUCCAUCCUCAGUUCUCUCCCAUCACAGUCAUUGAACUUUCUUGCUGUUUUAAAAUCACCAAUGGCCUCAUGGUGACAUCCCUGAGCAGUUUCCUUCCUGUCCUGCAGCUCAGUUCAGAAGGACGACUGUAUCUUUGAUGUGUCUGGGUGGUUUAAUACAUCAUCCACAGCAUAAUUAUUAACUUGACUAUGCUUAAAGAAAUAUUCACUGUCUGAUUUGUUAUAAUUACCCAUCUACCAAUCAUUGCACUUCUUGGUCUUUGUAGUUGAAUCUGUGCUUUAAAUUCAAUACUUGACUGAGGGACCUUACAAAUGUUGUAUGUAUGGGGGGCAGAGGAAGGGGUAGUCAAAAAUCACCCCUAUUAUUUCACACAGUGAGCCAUGUCAGUUAUGGGAUUUUUUUAAAUCACAAUUUUACUCCUGAAAUGAUUUAGGCUUGCCUACACAUUGGGGGUGAAUAUUUAUGCAACGACUUCAUUUUUGUUAUUUCAUGUAUAUUAAUUUGUAAAAAUGUGUAGAAUUUUCUGUUCACUUUGACAUUAUGGAGUAUUCUUUGUAGAUAAAUGACAAAAAAAAAUUAUAAUAAACUAUUUCAAUCCCACUUUGAAUUGCAGCAAAACGUGAAAAAAUCUAAGGGGGUGAAUAUUUAUGAUGCCUACUGUAUAUUGGAACAGCUCAUUCCUGCUACACUAUAAAUACCUAAUAGCAAGAAAGUGAGAGAGAAAAGCAGAGUACAUACAUUCACUGGACAGUUUAUUAGGUACACCCAUCUAAUACGAGGUUGGACCCCUCUUUGCCACCAGAACAGCCUGAACAACGUCGGAAACGUUCCACAGGGAUGUUGGUCCAUGCUUACACGAUGGCAUAUCGCAGUUGCUGCAGAUUGGACGGCUGUACCUCAAUUGUCCAGUGUUGGUGAUCGCGUGCCCACUGGAGCCGCUUCUUCUAUCCUUUUUAGCUGAAAAGAGUGGAACCCGGUGUGGUCGCCUGCUGCGAUUGCCCAUCCGUGACAAUGUUCGAGUGGUGCGCUCCGAGAUGCCGUUCUUCACGCUGAGCCAUUAUUUGUCUAUUUAUGGCCCCCAUGUUAGCUUGCAUGAUUCUUGCUGUUCUCCUUUGACCUCUCAUCAACAUGCUGUUUUCGCCCACAGGACUGCCGUUGACUGGAGGUUUUUUGUUUGUCGUACCAUUCUCUGUAAACCCAAGACACUGUUGUGUGUGUGAAAAGCCCAGAAGGCUGGCCAUUUCUUAAAUACUGAAUCCGGCGAGUCUGGCAUCGACGAUCAUACCACGCUCAAAGUCGCUUAGGUCACUUGUUUUACCCAUUCCAACAUUCAAUCGAACAGUACAUGAAUGCCUCGAUGCCUGUCUGCCUGCUUUACAUAGCAAGCCAUGGCUCGUGACUCAUUGUUUGUAGGAGCGAUCUAUUUUCGUGAAUGGGGUGGUGUACCUAAUGAACUGUAGCCUUCAAAGAGAAAGAAACAGGAGAGAGAGAGAGGCAGGCAGAGAGGAAGAGAGAGGGAGAGUACUGGAACUCCUUGGAUGUUAAUGGUUUUGCUUCCACACCUGUCACCCUGCACACAUGCAUACAGAGGUCUUUGAUAAUUACAUAAUCGUCCGGGAGUACAGAACCAUGGAAAUGGACAUGAUGAGUUGUGUUCCGAUCUGUGGGUCUCCUCCAUCUAUUUCCAUUAUUGUAAUGUACUGCUGCUGAUGACCUGUACUCACACAAUUAGCAGCUACUGAGAGGACUGCCCUCGGAAAGAGACCUGCACUGACACACACCUUCUGGGAAUGUGUGGACGUUUUCAUUUGUCUUUUUCUUUAUAUAUAUUUUUUGCAUUUUAUUUACCUAGAAUUUACUCUAAAUGUAAAUCUAUGGUUUGGGAGUAGGCCUAGUUGGUAGGAGGGAAGAGGUGCAUACUGUAAAUGUGUAACCCACAAGGUACCAUGGUUUCUUGAGAUGUGUGUAGUGUAGGCUGUGGGCUCCACCCUGGUCACUCCCUAGCCAUGCCCAUAAGCACUUCCUGGUUUGCCAGGAAGGGGGAAGCCAUCUUGAUUGAAUGUGUGAUCAGAAAUGUUUGUAACUACAGUAGAAACAUUUUUAUAGUUUAAAAGACUAGUUUCUCAAUUCCAUACAAAGGAUAACAUUCUCAAAUACUUUUUUAAAGAGCGGCUGAACUCACCGAUUCCGCAUAUGUUUUUCUGCUGCUCAUUAAGAAAAACAAGAUUUAUGGUUAUUGUAUUUUUUUGUCUCUUGAGGCACGAUAGCAAUAACAUAUCGACUACUGUCUUCUCAAAAUAGUCUGAAUUAAUCUAACAUAAAUCAAGAUAUAUGUUAUUAAUUUUGACUGUUUGGUGCAGUAUUUCUCAAGUAAAAAAAUGUGCAUGAAAAACUAUUCUAUUUCCAGGGUGUCUGUCUGACAGUGUUUCAUAGUGAAUCGUGUUACAAAACAGGUCGCGGUGGAACACAAGAUGCUCGCGAAUGGGUUUAAAAUUUUGUAACAUGAUUGUUAGAAUGCAAGUGCGCAUCGUCUUGAUUUUACUUACAUUUUUGCCAAGAACAGUGGCGGAUUCUGGCUGUUAUGAUUCGAUAGAGCGCAAUCACCACAGUUGGUUCUCCAUGCAUGACAAUUCUCCCUAGGCAUUACCAUCCCGUGUUAGUGGGCAAGUGGGCAUGAUUGUAAUCCAAACUCAACCCUCAUGUAAAUCGUGACGACCUGAGUUAGACAAAUCUCACGAAACUCAGUUUUGGAAUAUACUGACUUUAUGACACAAAUUAUCCUACUUACACUUUUGUUUGUCAUUUUUGGCUCUGGAGUAAAUGUUUCUGACUAAUAUCGAUGCCACACAGGCUGUUUUCAACCAGAGAAGUAAUUUUUUUGCGUUCAGUUGCCCUUAAGGCAUAUUGUAUUGAUUAUCAUGUGAAGUUUCCUCUGUGGACUACUGCUUCUAAAGACCAAAGUUUGGAAUGCUAUUUCCAAGGUCUACUGAUGUUGGGCUUUUCUUCUGUGGACUACUUUCCUUUGAAUAUUAUACUGAACUGCACAACUGAUCUGAUUUCAUUUCUUGCAGCAGGGACGGAAUUUAAUUAAACAUUUUCUUUCAUUGAUGCACAGCAA